UACGUAGGGACCGAGCGUUGUCCGGAUUCAUUGGGCGUAAAGAGCUCGUAGGCGGCCACUCAAGUCGAAUGUGAAACCUCGAGGCUUAACCUCGAGCCUGCAUUCGAUACUGGGUGGCUAGAGUCUGGUAGGGGGAUCUGGAAUUCCUGGUGUAGCGGUGGAAUGCGCAGAUAUCGUCUGGAACGCCAAAGGUGAAAACAGACUGCUGGGAGUGUGCUGACGCUGAGACACGAAAGCGUGGGGAGCGAACAGG
rnacentral:rRNA from 1 species